GACGAACGCUGGCGGCGUGCCUAAUACAUGCAAGUCGAGCGAAUGAAUGGGAGCUUGCUCCCUGACAUUAGCGGCGGACGGGUGAGUAACACGUGGGCAACCUGCCCUGCAGAUGGGGAUAACUCCGGGAAACCGGGGCUAAUACCGAAUAAUCAGUUCCUCCGCAUGGAGGAACUCUGAAAGACGGUUUCGGCUGUCACUGCAGGAUGGGCCCG
rnacentral:rRNA from 1 species